CAGAUAGCGGUCCGCGGGCCUCAUUUGCAAGGCGCUGCGCGGCGCAUGCAGAAGCAGCCGCGGGCCGGCGGGGCGCGCAGAUAAGGUCUGGGGGCGCGGGCUUCGGGCUGUACCUGCAUUAUCGCGGCUUCCUUAGCUGGGAUGAAUAUGUAAAUCUCCCGCCGCCGCCGCCUCCCGGAGCCGCAGCCGCAGCCGUGGGGGCCGCCUCCGCUGUAGCAAUUCCGAGGGAUAUGCUACAACUAGCAGACAUGAAGCCAUCAAGGCAUCUUGAGCCUGGCUACCUCCCAUGGCCUGUAUUUGGUCCACAGGAAACUCACUCAGUCUUGCUACAGCAAGACUGAGGUGGUAUAGGGUGCCUGUUGCUGCCUCUCUCCUCACCUUGCCACAGAAGGCUGUCCCAGUCUGACCCCCGCUUCCAGAGUUUCUCCAGGACAUGUUCCAUUUCUUGACCUGGUGGUGGAUGUCUGGGUAUGUUCACUUCAUGAAAAUUGCAUCCAUCAAGACACUCAGGAUUUGUGCACCUUUAUUAGGAAGGAGAAGUGGCCUGAGUUGAGAAUGUAUAAAGAUUCCUGGACAGAAGCUAAUGGCCUGGCUGACUGGUCAGAGUCCUGGGAGGAAAAAGAUAAAAGGAUUGGAGACAAGAUGGUCUGAAGCUGAGACAUGUGUAUGGACAUAUGGACAUUGGUGUAAACUCUGAAGAUUUUUUAUCACAUAUUAACUCUGACCAGAAGCUAUCUACCACAGAAGAGUCACUGAAUAACUAAGAAGACAAAACGACUUAGCCAGUUGAUUUUAACAAACCUUCAUCAUUGGCCAUCCCAGAACUGGCAGAAUGGACAAAUGAAUAGCCAUGAUUGUAGAGACAAAGGAUAGUAUGGGUCCAAUCAUGAAUUUCCACUAAGGAAAGACAAUUUAGCUACUUCUGCCAUUGAAUACCUAACUUGCCAGCACCAUGGACCAAUACUGAGCCUCUAGAUCUGGUGCUAUUCCUCAAGGAGACCACUGAGCCACUUGGUA